ACUUAUCUGCCACUGAAGUUGCGUCGCUGCCUGAUUUCAUAUGCGGACUAUAUUUGUUGCAAACCUUGAAACUUAAUGCGUGCGGCCAACUGACUGAACUUCCCAAAGAGAUGUGGAAACUUGCUAGGCUAAGAAAUCUGGAAAUUAAAGGUACGCGGGAAUUGUGGGCUUUACCCCAUGGGAUUGGGAGAUUAACUUCCCUCAGAACAUUGUCAAAGUUUAUUGUUGGGGAAGGGAUGGAACGCAGGAUUGGGGAACUCAAAAACCUCAAUCUCCUCCAAGGAAAGUUAGCAAUAUACGAAUUGGACAUGGUGUUAAAUGAGGGUUACGCCAAGGAAGCAGAACUAAUGAAUAAGAAACACCUUCGCCAUUUGGAAUUGUAUUUCGUUGGUGAGGGACUGUCAGCACCAGUGCUUGGAAGUUCAGAAGUGUCAGGAUUAAAGUAAAGAUCAAUGAGGGUGUGUUGGAAGGCCUUUGGCCCCAUCCAAACCUAGAAGAACUGAAAAUAUCGGGUUACAUGGGAUUGAAGUUCCCAGGAUGGAUGGAAGAUGCAUCGUUCUCGAACCUAGUUAAUGUGACUCUUCAUAACUGCCAUGACUGCAUAAAACUACCAGCACUUGGGACACUACCAUCCCUUAAAUACCUUACCAUAGUAAAAAUGGCUAAGGUGGAAUUCAUCGGUCCGGAGUUCUACAGGAAGAACGAUAGCAGAGAUGUAACAGGUGCAGCUGCAGCAUUCCCCAAGUUGGAGACACUCGUUUUAGAUGGAAUGUAUUCUUUGAGGGAGUGGGUUGGGAGUGAAGAUGGAGGAAUGCCGUCUCUCCUUGAACUUCGUAUUGCAAAUUGCCCCACGUUAAUGAAAGUGCCCUUAUUCCUUCAUGGUAAACUGUGGAAAGUAGAUUUUGAAUUCCCAGCGGCUACUGGACAUCGUGCAUUUCAGAAUCUGUCGAGUGUUUGGUUGUAGACGGCAUUAGAGGCAGCCAUAUGUUCAUCAGAAACAACGACGGGCAUCACAUCAGAGACAUCGAUACGAUCCCCCUGCCUUUAUCUUGCAACCUCAAGUACUUGGUGAUUAAAAACUCACCAUAUUUUGAGUUUCCCAUUGGGAUACACAAACUCCGUGGGCUCCAGAUACUCCACAUUACAGACUGCCAAAAACUGACACAUCUGCCUAAAGAGCUCAGAUACCUCCGUAACCUUCGUCAACUGAAGGUCAUGCACUGUCCAAAUUUAGAAAAAUGGUGUAAAAAAUAUGCAAAGGACGAUCAGCAACUAGCAAUGUCACACAUCCCUAAUAUCAGGAUCGGCAACCAAGAGAUCAAGCGAGAUGGGCAAGAAAUCGCUGGACAUGCAAGAACUAAUGAAGAACAGUUAUCUGCGAUGUGCAAUCUGGGAGCAGGAAAAGGCUGAUGCGAAUUUCUUGAGGCUGGUUAAAGAGCAAAAGGGAAAAAGAAGUUCCUCUGAAUAAAAUACUUCAGAAAGAAAUGGACCAUCAUUUUGGACUGGCAUUUCCCAACCCUCUCAGUUGGGAACAAUUGCGGGAUGAUGAGAUGCAUUCGAUGGCUGGAGAUAUAAUUGGCUGCAAGCAUUUGCUGGAGAUUCUGGAACAAGGAGACAUUGUGGCCGCGCAAAACAUACUUGGUGUGACUAGAGGAUCCAUGGAUGAGCUCAUGGCCCACGAAUCCGGAAAUAAACUGUUUCAAAAGCUCUUGGAUUCCUGCAAUGUGAGCCAAAUAUUCAAAAUCGUUCUCAGUGUUACAACACAAGAUGGGGUGUUGAUUAAUGCAGCAAAAGAAAGAUUUGGAUGAUUUCUGUGCAUAUUCAGUAUUCCAUUUGGAGCUGGAAUGAAAUGUGAUUGGUAGUCACUUGGUCAUCAUAUUUGUAAUGUAGGAGUUCCUAUCAUACCUUUUAGUAAAUUUGCCUCUCUUGCUUCAUAUUUGUAGUGUUACAAGUCUUAGGCUCCAUUUGGUCAUCACAUCAAUCUUUAUGAAUAUAAAUUUUUCUCAAACCAAAUGGAGCUUAAGCCCUUUUUUAACUCCACCAAUGCAACUUCUUGCAUUGCCGGUCCCAAGGCCAGGUAAAGGAGGAGGGAGAAGGGUGUCAAGGUGAGUUGUGUCCUUAAAAGGGCAAAGAACAAUCUUUGUUUUCUUUAUUUUCAUCAACCAUCAGUUGUGCGGAUUCUUUUUGUUAUUCGGUUGUAGAUGAACUUUGUUGUUAGUAGUGUUAUUAGUUUUGAUGAAGAGUAUUAGAAGCAUUAGAAGUAAUUUGCGGUUAGUAACAGCUUGAAGUAUUAUAAAAUGCUUGGAUUGAGAGACUGUACUAUACAUUCCGAAUUUCAGUUUGUACAAGUGAGGUUGAUCAUUCAGCGAUCGAAAACAUUGAUAUGAUGUGACCCACCCUACUUACGUCCCAAGGAAAAAAAAAUUUAAAAAAAUCCUCAUGAUGGUUUGAUAGUCUGAAUACUGAUUGGAGGAAACAGGACUUUAUGAGUGAUUUCUUUCAGAGCUUUGGAUUAUGGAAGAGGUAUGAUCAAUACUAUGGAAAAGGGUCUUAUUGGUGUGAAAAGAUUUGAUCUAGUCACCCAAUUCGAAUGAAAUACCAUUAGUUUUCUUUAGGUCAGACUUUUGGUUGGGGCAGAGUUACUGUUUCAUGUGGUGGGUUGCAAAUCCAAGAGAAUUACAGUCGCACACAAGAAAACUCGUGUGCUUUUUUUCCUGCAUUCAUUGUUACUUCUGUUUUGCCAACAGUCUUCAUUAGAACUUGUGGCUUUCCAUUUCAUCAUCAUCGCCAGGUUUAGUUUAAUCCACUGAUGGAUCUAAAACAGAUCAUCAUCAUCAUCAUUGGGUUCAGCUUAAUCUACUGACAGACUUU